UACGGAGGGUGCAAACGUUGCUCGGAAUCAUUGGGCGUAAAGCGAACGUAGGCGGCUAUGUAAGUCGGGUGUGAAAGCCCUCGGCUCAACCGAGGAAGUGCAUUCGAAAACUGCAUGGCUUGAGUAUCGGAGAGGAUAGCGGAAUUCCCGGUGUAGAGGUGAAAUUCGUAGAUAUGGGGAGGAACACCGGCGGCGAAGGCGGCCACCUGGACGGUCACUGACGCUGAGACGCGAAAAGCUAGGGGAGCAAACGGGG
rnacentral:rRNA from 1 species